rnacentral:lncRNA from 1 species
UGCUAAUACCUCAAAAGAUGCCACCAGAAUCACCCCUUAGAGCCAAUUUUCACCUGUCUCCCCCUGAUCUCUAGCAGUCAACGGAAGAAGUCUUAGCUUAUUUUUUCCACUCCCUUGUGAUGGGAAAUUCAGAAUAGGUGAAAUUCUGACUUGAGGAUAGGAGCUAGUUCUCAUUCAUUUCCAUAUACCCAGUAUGUUGCCUGGCCUGUGAUAGGUGCUCAGUAAAAAGGCAGUGAAAUAAAAAUAAACAAAACUGAGAACAUUUGAUGAAGAAAUGCUACAAUGGAGGGAGAAAAGGUCUAGAAAGUGGACACUGGGAAUUCACUGUCUUUACCUUUUUGCUAGAACUGGUCCUUUAGGUUCAAACUCACUUGCCAGUUGCCUCCAUCCACUUUCUGGUAACAUGUUCUAAGAGCAAACUUCCUCUGCUUCCUGGGCAUCCUGCUUCUAUCCUCUUUAGUCUAGGUGUCUCUGACACCUGAGAUGUCUCUUCAGGAACCUGGACCUGCAAACAUUUGCAUAAGCAGAAAGUACAUUCUAGGUGUCCCAGGAGCUAGAAGAAAACAGGUCAGCCUACACGACAUUAGAAAGGAAGGGAGUUAGGUAAGACUUCUUCGUUGACCGCUAGAGAUCAGGGGGAGACAGGUGAAAAUUGGCUCUAAGGGGUGAUUCUGGUGGCAUCUUUUGAGGUAUUAGCAUGUGGGAGAUCAGGCCACUCAGAACAGGGGUCAGAGAGCUUGCUCAUCCCAUAGCACCCUGGUGCCCCCUCUGCUCAUGUAUUAUCAUCAGAUGAAGGACACCAGGCCAAGAUAACAGAACCCAGCUUCCUGCUACUGGGGUAAGGAAGAAACUAAAAGCCCUGGGAAGAAAGGUGUCUCUUUGGAGAAGGAAGUUCCUUAUAAGAAAAACUCUUCGAAAGGCCAGGUGAGUCUUUCCAGGGCCUGCUGUGAAAGUGAUUCUGAGCUGUACACAGGCGAGCUGCUGAGGAAGUUGGCAUUCAUAAUUCCUGAGACGUGUCUCUUUUACUUUUUAAGAUUUUGGUAAAUACUGGACAGCAGAGCUGCUGCAUACCUCUGGCGGCAACUGCAUAAAAGGUAAGUAGACAUGGGUAGUUUUUAAGGAAAUUGAUUUUGAGAUCUUUGGAUGUUUCCACCAACUUU